rnacentral:rRNA from 1 species
GUUUGAUCCUGGCUCAGAUUGAACGCUGGCGGCAGGCCUAACACAUGCAAGUCGAACGGUAACAGGAAGCAGCUUGCUGCUUUGCUGACGAGUGGCGGACGGGUGAGUAAUGUCUGGGAAACUGCCUGAUGGAGGGGGAUAACUACUGGAAACGGUAGCUAAUACCGCAUAACGUCGCAAGACCAAAGAGGGGGACCUUCGGGCCUCUUGCCAUCGGAUGUGCCCAGAUGGGAUUAGCUAGUAGGUGGGGUAACGGCUCACCUAGGCGACGAUCCCUAGCUGGUCUGAGAGGAUGACCAGCCACACUGGAACUGAGACACGGUCCAGACUCCUACGGGAGGCAGCAGUGGGGAAUAUUGCACACAAUGGGCGCAGCCUGAUGCAGCCAUGCCGCGUGUAUGAAGAAGGCCUUCGGGUUGUAAAGUACUUUCAGCGGGGAGGAAGGCGAUAAGGUAAUAACCUGUCGAUUGACGUUACCCGCAGAAGAAGCACCGGCUAACUCCGUGCCAGCAGCCGCGGUAAUACGGAGGGUGCAAGCGUUAAUCGGAAUUACUGGGCGUAAAGCGCACGCAGGCGGUCUGUCAAGUCGGAUGUGAAAUCCCCGGGCUCAACCUGGGAACUGCAUUCGAAACUGGCAGGCUAGAGUCUUGUAGAGGGGGGUGGAAUUCCAGGUGUAGCGGUGAAAUGCGUAGAGAUCUGGAGGAAUACCGGUGGCGAAGGCGGCCCCCUGGACAAAGACUGACGCUCAGGUGCGAAAGCGUGGGGAGCAAACAGGAUUAGAUACCCUGAUAGUCCACGCCGUAAACGAUGUCGACUUGGAGGUUGUGCCCUUGAGGCGUGGCUUCCGGAGCUAACGCGUUAAGUCGACCGCCUGGGAAGUACGGCCGCAAGGUUAAAACUCAAAUGAAUUGACGGGGGCCCGCACAAGCGGUGGAGCAUGUGGUUUAAUUCGAUGCAACGCGAAGAACCUUACCUACUCUUGACAUCCAGAGAACUUUCCAGAGAUGGAUUGGUGCCUUCGGGAACUCUGAGACAGGUGCUGCAUGGCUGUCGUCAGCUCGUGUUGUGAAAUGUUGGGUUAAGUCCCGCAACGAGCGCAACCCUUAUCCUUUGUUGCCAGCGGUUAGGCCGGGAACUCAAGGAGAACUGCCAGUGAUAAACUGGAGGAAGGUGGGGAUGACGUCAAGUCAUCAUGGCCCUUACGAGUAGGGCUACACACGUGCUACAAUGGCGCAUACAAAGAGAAGCGACCUCGCGAGAGCAAGCGGACCUCAUAAAGUGCGUCGUAGUCCGGAUUGGAGUCUGCAACUCGACUCCAUAAAGUCGGAAUCGCUAGUAAUCGUGGAUCAGAAUGCCACGGUGAAUACGUUCCCGGGCCUUGUACACACCGCCCG